rnacentral:rRNA from 1 species
AUUGAACGCUGGCGGCAUGCUUUACACAUGCAAGUCGAACGGGGUGAAGGGGCAACUCUUCAUUCAGUGGCGAACGGGUGAGUAAUGCAUCGGAACGUACCUCGUAGUGGGGGAUAACUCGGCGAAAGCCGUGCUAAUACCGCAUAUGCUCUACGGAGGAAAGCAGGGGACCUGAAAGGGCCUUGUGCUAUGGGAGCGGCCGAUGUCCGAUUAGCUAGUUGGGGGGUAAUGGCCUACCAAGGCGACGAUCGGUAGCUGGUCUGAGAGGAUGAUCAGCCACACUGGGACUGAGACACGGCCCAGACUCCUACGGGAGGCAGCAGUGGGAAUUUUGGACAAUGGGGGCAACCCUGAUCCAGCCAUGCCGCGUGCGGGAAGAA